rnacentral:lncRNA from 1 species
CAAAUUGUAAUACAGGAUCUUAGGGCUGAGUGUUUUGUGUUUAAUAAGUCAGUGCAUUGGUAGAAUACGAGCCGUUGUGUCUGGUUUGGAUGUGUGUCUAAGGUGGUACCCCAUUUCAAGGCAAAUGAGAACACUUGACUAUGGUAACCUAAUGGCUUUCUUUGUUAUUUUUUCUUAAACCUAAUGGCUUUCUUUGUUAUUUUUUCUUAAUGGGUUAUCCAUUCCUUGCGUUUUUACUGAGUUAUUGGCUCUGGAUAUUUUGUGGUUCACAAUGAUUCUGUUUUUGUUGUUGGGUUGCUAAAAGCAAGCAAAACCUAUAAAAUUGGCCUUUCGGUAGUUUUUUUCUCUACAUGAAUAUUAUGCUAGAAAUUAUCUGUUUGUGUUUUGUUUUUGUCUUAAUAUACUGGAUAAACUUUGUUAUGACAAUCUUAACCAACAGGUGGAUGACGCAUGUAUUAGUUAUGUUUGUAGAACUCAAUGCAUACCUUUUAUCUUAAACUUAUAUCAAGUAAUCAUAUUUGGUAAUCUCCAUUUGAUUUGGGGACUUCACUUUCUCAGAAAGAAUCAUAUGUUAUUUAAUUAAUUACAAAAAAGAUUCAUAAGAUUCUUAUAAAGUUGAAGCUUAGUGUAUGUGAAAGAGAGAGGGAGAUCCCGUCUUGAAUGGCAUCAUGAAAAUCGUUCAAACAAUAUCAAGAAAGAGCACUGAACUUGUCUUCCGAAGUUAACCUUCGGCCGCUACAGUAACGUCUAUGGGUGCCUACUCCGUCGCUAAUCGCUUUAGUCACCGUGCAGUUAUGAAUUAAGGGGAUUAACUGUUGCCUCUUUGUCACGAUUAAUUGCAGUUAUACAGGAAGAAGAAAAAAAAAAAAAAGGUUGAUAAAUUCUGAAGGAGAAUAAAAGGCUUUGAGGGAAAAAGCUAGAAAUGGAGGUGUGUGUGGUUUUGUGUACCAUCAACCGGAGAGGGAAAGCAAAAGAAUACGUAGAGACAGAGAGAUGGGGUUUAAAUAUGAGGGCAUAGUAAGGAGAGGAAGCAAAAGCAAGAGUGGUAAUCAAUCAUUAGUGGAGUGAAAAAUGUCAUUGGUGCGGUCAAAAGCACUCACAUUUUCUUUUAAUUUUAGGGCCAGAAAAUAGUAACGUUAUUCGCUCCCUCUAAUAUCAUUGGAGUGAAUAAAUUGGUCAUGAACUAGGCACUUCUAAAAUUCGAACCUAAGACAUUUUGUAAUGAAAAGAUUACUGAACAGUAUUAGUAAGUGACAAACAUCUUUUCCUUAACUGCCGUGUCUUUUACUUCAGGAAUAAAGGAAGAGUUAGAACCAACAUAUGUCCACAAUAUAUGGGAUCUAGAGUGAUAAUUAGUGGAGACGAAGGUGACAUUGUUUGGUACUAAGGGAUGUGAUAUCUACACACUCUAUUUUAUUUCUCACACACCAUUUUAAUUUUCGGCCGUUGGAUCAGAUGAAUUGAAGAAGAUCAAUGGACAAAAAUUUUCAAGGAUGUGAGAGAAGUAAAAUGAGGUGUGUGAAUAGCACAUUCCGGUACUAAAACAUCAAAUGCUCUCACUUUUUCUCCGAUACUGUUUCUAGUGAGAGAGAGAGAGAGAAACCAAGAGCGGUAAUCAAUGGUAAUUAGUGGAGAGAAAAAAAAUGUCAUUGUAGGGGUCAAAUGCACUCACAUUUUCUCUUAAUGUACCUGUGGAUAGUAAUAAUACUUAUACACCCUAAUGCGGGUUUGAUCUUCCUCUCCCUCUAAUAUUGAACAAUUUAAUCCAUUAAAGUUAUCGUUUAUCUCAAUUUUUUUUAUAUACAACAAUAUAUCUACAAAACACUAAGGAGGGGAGAAUAAUUGGUUGCAAACUUGUCACUUGUGAGAUUCAAAUUUAAAACAUUGUAAAAGAAAUAUCAUUAAACAGUAUUACUAAGUGGCAAACAUCUUUUUUCCUUUGCCCUUUUUAUCCUUUUAAAAUACAAAUCUUUUCAAUGUACUUUAAAUUUUAUAAUAAGUAUAUAAUUCAAUAAAUUCUAGACACCAAACCGGCAAUAUAUAAGUAAUAUGUAGAAAAAUGGCAGAGUUAUCCAUGCUUGGCAUCUUGGGUGUAAAGAGCCAACAUCAUAUCAAUUGUUCUGAGGUAUUUGCUGAGGAAAUGGGUUGAACAUUUUGAGUGAUUUGGUUGAAGAGGUAUUCUUGGAGAGGAGGAAGAGUUAAGCAUUCUUGCAGGUCUACCUUGACAUGGAAGAUGAAGGUCGACAUGUGUAGGGAUUUAAGCAAGUAGUGGUGCUGUUCCUUUACGGUUAUCGGCAACAAUAGUGUAAUUGGAACUGAAAAAUUAUUGUAUAACACAUACUGAAUUAUUCAAAACCAAACCUUCUCUCUCUCCGACUCUCCUUCCUAAAAACAAACCCUAAUUUUUCUGUAAUCUCAGCCGCCGGCUGCUUGCUUUGGGUUAGGGUUGGUGACAACCACUCUUCACCUUCCUCCUAGCCUCUCUCUCCCCUCCUAACCCUUUGCCAACCCCUCCACCUCAGUUUUUCACCUUUCACUCCCUCCCCUUUCCCUGCGCUGCCCCCUCCCUCGUGUCUCUCCCUUUCCUUGCAUCUCUGUCUACCAUCUCCCUCCCCCGUAGUUUUUUCCCAUUAUUUUGUGCCUUUACCUAGAUUUGCAGUUGCCUGUUUCAAGGUUCUUUCCUUGAUUUGGGGCUUGAUUGGCGGUCAGGGUAGGCUUUGUGGCUAUUGGUGGGUUGGUUCCACUUCCAUCAGCUUGUUUUUGUGGUUGUGACCCUCUCCACUCCAAUUUGGUGGUUGCAUCCUUGCCCGCUUAGAUCCUGCGGACCCGCCGCCUAGGGCGUUCAAUGACGGGGCGGCUAUCUUAUGCAACCAUAUUAGGUGACUCCGCCUUGUGUGGCCCGAUCUUCUCAGGGAUGUUGUUGAGCUCACUAGUGUGCUAAUGGUUUGGUCCUGGUUUGGGUCUUGGUCGUUGAGAUGAAUUGAUCGGUGGUCCUUUCAUUCUCGGAGUAGUAUGUAGUUGGUUUUGUUACCUCCCCCUGUAAAUUGUGGUCGCGUGUUUUGUGGUUGCUGGAUUUGUCUUUGCUUUAUACGAUUGAUAUGUAGUCUCGUCUUUCAACGAUGAUUUAUUGUGAUCUCGCUUGCGAUGACUUUAUGUGGCUUCACACUUGUGCGAUGACCUAUGUGUUUGCCAGUGUUAAUUUGUUGCGUCUAUCGUGCUUUUGUGACAAAUUUGAACUGGAGACAUCUUGUAGGGUAAGGCAAUGCUUGUGUUAGCCAUUUAGGGGUUUAUUGUUUGUUUACUUGCACAAAUUUACUCCAACCAAUUUCUUGAUCACUGAAGCUUAUGUACCCGAUUGGCAUCUUGUGUAAUUGUUUGUGAAAUUCAAUGAAAUACCAGUCUAUCGUUUCUUGUCCAAAAAAAAAAAAACAAAAACA